rnacentral:rRNA from 1 species
CACCAGCCCCUCGAGUGGUGGGGAUGAUUAUUUGGCCUAAAGCGUCCGUAGCCGGCCGGGUAAGUUUCCCGUUAAAUCCAGCGUCUCAAGCGUUGGACUGCGGGAAAUACUGCCUGGCUAGAGAGUGGGAGAGGUCAGCGGUAUUCUGGGGGUAGGGGCGAAAUCCUUUGAUCCCCGGAGGACCACCAGUGGCGAAGGCUGCUGACUAGAACACGUCUGACGGUCAGGGACGAAAGCUGGGGUAGCGAAUCGGAUUAGAUACCCGGGUAGUCCCAGCCGUAAACGAUGCAUGCUAGGUGUUGGGUUGGCCACGAGCCACCCCAGUGCCGCAGGGAAGCCGUUAAGCAUGCCGCCUGGGAAGUACGAUCGCAAGAUUGAAACUUAAAGGAAUUGGCGGGGAGCACCACCAGGCGUGAAGCCUGCGGUUU